GCACGCAUAGCUCAGUUGGUUAGAGCGUCACAUUGACAUUGUGAAGGUCCGUGGUUCGAAUCCACGUGCGUGCACCA
rnacentral:tRNA from 1 species